UCGAACGGAAAGGCCCUGCUUGCAGGGUACUCGAGUGGCGAACGGGUGAGUAACACGUGGGUGAUCUGCCCUGCACUUCGGGAUAAGCUUGGGAAACUGGGUCUAAUACCGGAUAGGACCGCACUUUAGUGUGUGUGGUGGAAAGUUUUUUCGGUGUAGGAUGAGCUCGCGGCCUAUCAGCUUGUUGGUGGGGUAAUGGCCUACCAAGGCGGCGACGGGUAGCCGGCCUGAGAGGGUGUACGGCCACAUUGGGGCUGAGAUACGGCCCAGACUCCUACGGGAGGCAGCAGUGGGGAAUAUUGCACAAUGGGCGCAAGCCCGAUGCAGCGACGCCGCGUGGGGGAUGAAGGCCUUCGGGUUGUAAACUCCUUUCGCUAGGGACGAAGCUUUUUGUGACGGUACCUAGAUAAGAAGCACCGGCUAACUACGUGCCAGCAGCCGCGGUAAUACGUAGGGUGCGAGCGUUGUCCGGAAUUACUGGGCGUAAAGGGCUCGUAGGUGGUUUGUCGCGUCGUCUGUGAAAUUCUGGGGCUUAACUCCGGGCGUGCAGGCGAUACGGGCAUAACUUGAGUGCUGUAGGGGUAACUGGAAUUCCUGGUGUAGCGGUGAAAUGCGCAGAUAUCAGGAGGACACCGAUGGCGAAGGCAGGUUACUGGGCAGUUACUGACGCUGAGGAGCGAAAGCA
rnacentral:rRNA from 1 species